GUGUGUCACCUGUGUGUCCCUGUGUCCCCAGGUGCUCUGUGUGGUGACAGCAGUGUCCCUGCACCUGUGUUACCUGUCUGCGUUCUGCUGGAUGGCGCUGCAGGGCCUGCACCUGUACGUGCUGCUGGUCCAGGUGUUCUCCCCGGCCUGGCUCCGCCCGCGGCCGCUCCUGGCCCUGGGCUACGGCCCCGCCCUGGCCGUGGUGGCGCUGGCGGCGGCGGUGUACCCACAGGGAUACGGCACCGAUCAAUAUUGCUGGCUCUCCCUCGAGCGCGGUUUCCGCUGGAGUUUCCGGGGCCCCGUCAUCGUCAUCACUGCCGCCAACGCCGCCAUCCUGGUUGUCACCCUCUGGAAGUUGGUGCAGAAAUUCCACGAGGUCACCCCGGACAUGGGGACCCUGCGCCGGGCACGGGUGCUGUGGGUGACGUCACUGGGCCAGCUCUCCCUGCUGGGCUCUGGUUGGGCGCUGGGCGUGGGGGCGGGGCUUGGCUGGGCUGGGGGGGCGGGGCCUCCCCUCCCCCCCGGCAGCGCCCCCCCGCCCCUCCCCCUCCUGUUCUGCGCCGUCAACGCCGCCCAGGGGCUGCUGAUCUUCCUGUGCCACUGCCUGGGGCACCCCAAGGUGCGGGGCUGGUACCGCUCCCUGCUGUGCCCCCGCUCGCGGCCCUACUCGGAGUUCACCAGUCACACCAGUAACACCAGUAACCACACCAGUAACACCAGUAACACCAGUAACACCAGUACGGGCCGGCCGAGGGGAUCCCAGUCACACCAGUAACACCAGUAACACCAGUAACACCAGUACGGGCCGGCCGAGGGGAUCCCAGUCACACCAGUAACACCAGGUGCAGAAAAUUCCGGAAAAAUCAAAAAUUCCAGGAAAAAUCUUCGGAAUUUUGGGAAAAAUCUUCGAAAAUUCAGGAAAAAUCUUCGGAAUUUGGGGGAAAUCUUUGGAAUUUUGGGAAAAAUAUUCGGAAUUUUGGGAAAAUUCUUCAGAAUUUUUUGGAAAAAAUCUUCGGAAUUCCAGGAAAAAUCUUCGGAAUUUUGGGGAAAAUCUUCGGAAAUUCUGGAAAAUCUUUGGAGUUUUGGGAAAAUCUUCAGAGUUCCAGAAAAAAAAUAUUGGGAAUUUUUGGGGAAAAUCUUCAGAAAUUCUGGGAAAAAUCUUGGGAAUUCUGGGAAAAAUCUUUGGAAUUUGGGUGAAAUCUUUCGAAUUUUGGGAAAAAUCUUUGGAAUUUUGGGAAAAUCUUUGGAAUUCCGGGAAAAAUCUUCAGAAUUUUGGGAAAAUCUUCGGAAAUUCAGGAAAAAUCUUCAGAAUUUGGGGGUAAUCUUUGGAAUUUGGGGGGAAAUCUUGGGAAUUUUGGGGGAAAUCUUUGGAAUUUGGAGAUUUUUGCCACCCCUCCCCCCCAGGGAGAUCAGUAAAGGCGAGCUCAGGUUUGGGGUGAA